CGAGGGGUGGGGAAAGGAUUCCGCGUCUCGCCGUCUCGCUCUCGCGACUCGGAGGCGGCGACACUGGGAGCGACAGCUCCGCUCCCGACGCCUCCCCACCUCCGGCGACUGGAGCACCUCCGGCGACCGCAGUGGAUCUCUUCCUGAGCGCAUCGUCCAAGCCCCUCCCCGUCGUUCCUCUCCUCUGCCACCUGUCCCCUCUCUGGUGGUUGUCUUUCUCCUCACAAGAUCUGCUCAGGCGUACAUCUCCAGUUCACUCCGGCGAAGACGACGGCCGGCGGUCGUGGUUCUCUUUGUCCUCCGUCAACGUAGGCCAUUGUUGCUAAUAACCUCUUCACUGGUCCAAAAGACAACCUGAGAAGUGGAUAGGUCGCCCGAGAUUUGAGGUCAUCCGUGUCAAGUCUGAACUUGCUCUGUGGUUGGUCUCCUUUUUCUGCAUCAAUUGUUUUGGCAGCUGAUAGUAUUCGCAGACAUGGAUGAUCCACCAAGGGAGGAGUAGAAGAAGGCAAUGCAAAAAAAAGCUCAUGGAGAUGUCGCCAACGAGAUAAAAAUUGGAUUUCAUGUUACAAACUUCUAUGCUACUCAAGUUUAAUUGAUGUUAUCUGGUUUGGCGCAGUUCAGAUAAUUGACAUGUAUUAAUUAUUUGCUGCAAGAUGUUUCCUUUUGUAAGAUUUGCUGCAAGACUUUCUACCUUCUAAUUAAUUCUGCCUGGAGAUGUAAUUAUUGAUGUAUGCUUGAUGCCUAAUUUUCUUUUCUUUUCUGAACAUAUCAUUAUUUCCAUGCUGUCUACUAUGAUAUCGUGUUGGUUAUUUACAAUUAUAUUUAUGAUUGGUGUAACAUUAUUCACCCGGAGAUGUAAAGAUUGG